rnacentral:rRNA from 1 species
UACGUAGGGUGCGAGCGUUACUCGGAAUUACUGGGCGUAAAGCGUGCGCAGGCGGUUCGCCGUGUCCGAUGUGAAAGCCCCGGGCUUAACCUGGGAAUGGCAUUGGAAACUGGCGGGCUGGAGUGUGGCAGAGGGGGGUGGAAUUCCACGUGUAGCAGUGAAAUGCGUAGAGAUGUGGAGGAACACCGAUGGCGAAGGCAGCCCCCUGGGCCAACACUGACGCUCAGGCACGAAAGCGUGGGGAGCAAACAGG